rnacentral:rRNA from 1 species
UACGGAAGGCAGCAGUGGGGAAUAUUGCACAAUGGGCGCAAGCCUGAUGCAGCCAUGCCGCGUGUAUGAAAAAGGCCUUCGGGUUGUAAAGUACUUUCAGUCGUGAGGAAGGUGUUAAGGUUAAUAACCUUAGCAAUUGACGUUAGCGACAGAAGAAGCACCGGCUAACUCCGUGCCAGCAGCCGCGGUAAUACGGAGGGUGCGAGCGUUAAUCGGAAUUACUGGGCUAAAGGGCACGCAGGCGGUUAAUUAAGUUGGAUGUGAAAUCCCCGGGCUUAACCUGGGAAUGGCAUUCAAGACUGGUUAGUUAGAGUCUUGUAGAGGGGGGUAGAAUUCCAUGUGUAGCGGUGAAAUGCGUAGAGAUGUGGAGGAAUACCGGUGGCGAAGGCGGCCCCCUGGACAAAGACUGACGCUCAUGUGCGAAAGCGUGGGGAGCAAACAGGGAUUAGAUACC